rnacentral:rRNA from 1 species
UAGAUGAACGCUAGCUACAGGCUUAACACAUGCAAGUCGAGGGGCAGCAUUUCAGUUUGCUUGCAAACUGGAGAUGGCGACCGGCGCACGGGUGAGUAACACGUAUCCAACCUGCCGAUAACUCGGGGAUAGCCUUUCGAAAGAAAGAUUAAUACCCGAUGGUAUAAUUAAACCGCAUGGUCUUGUUAUUAAAGAAUUUCGGUUAUCGAUGGGGAUGCGUUCCAUUAGGCAGUUGGUGAGGUAACGGCUCACCAAACCUUCGAUGGAUAGGGGUUCUGAGAGGAAGGUCCCCCACAUUGGAACUGAGACACGGUCCAAACUCCUACGGGAGGCUGCAGUGAGGAAUAUUGGUCAAUGGGCGCAGGCCUGAACCAGCCAAGUAGCGUGAAGGAUGACUGCCCUAUGGGUUGUAAACUUCUUUUAUAUGGGAAUAAAGUUUUCCACGUGUGGAAUUUUGUAUGUACCAUAUGAAUAAGGAUCGGCUAACUCCGUGCCAGCAGCCGCGGUAAUACGGAGGAUCCGAGCGUUAUCCGGAUUUAUUGGGUUUAAAGGGAGCGUAGGUGGACAGUUAAGUCAGUUGUGAAAGUUUGCGACUCAACCGUAAAAUUGCAGUUGAUACUGGCUGUCUUGAGUACAGUAGAGGUGGGCGGAAUUCGUGGUGUAGCGGUGAAAUGCUUAGAUAUCACGAAGAACUCCGAUUGCGAAGGCAGCUCACUGGACUGCAACUGACACUGAUGCUCGAAAGUGUGGGUAUCAAACAGGAUUAGAUACCCUGGUAGUCCACACAGUAAACGAUGAAUACUCGCUGUUUGCGAUAUACAGUAAGCGGCCAAGCGAAAGCAUUAAGUAUUCCACCUGGGGAGUACGCCCGCAACGGUGAAACUCAAAGGAAU